UGGUAAAUCCGCGAAUGGCUCAUUAUAACAGCCAUAAUUUAUUGGAUUUAGUGAUCUACUUGGAUAACUGUGGUAAUUGUAGAGCUAAUACAUGCAAUCAAGCCCAGACUUCGGAAUGGGUGCCUUUAUUAGAUCAAAACCAAUUGGCUUCGGCCAUCUAUUGGUGACUCUGAAUAACUUAGCUGAUCGCAUGGGCUUGUCCCGGCGACAUAUCCUUCAAGUGUCUGCCUUAUCAACUGUCGAUGGUAGUUUAUUGGACUACCAUGGUUGUAACGGGUAACGGAGAAUAAGGGUUCGACUCCGGAGAGGGAGCCUGAGAUACGGCUACCACAUCCAAGGAAGGCAGCAGGCGCGCAAAUUACCCACUCUCAGAACGAGGAGGUAGUGACGAAAAAUAACGAGACAGUCUUCUAUGAGGUCUGUCAUCGGAAUGGGUACAAUUUAAACCCUUUAACGAGGAUCUAUUGGAGGGCAAGUCUGGUGCCAGCAGCCGCGGUAAUUCCAGCUCCAAUAGCGUAUAUUAAAGUUGUUGC
rnacentral:rRNA from 1 species